rnacentral:rRNA from 1 species
UACGUAGGGUGCAAGCGUUGUCCGGAUUUAUUGGGCGUAAAGAGCUCGUAGGCGGUCUGUCGCGUCGGAUGUGAAAACCCAGGGCUCAACCCUGGGCCUGCAUUCGAUACGGGCAGACUAGAGUACGGCAGGGGAGACUGGAAUUCCUGGUGUAGCGGUGAAAUGCGCAGAUAUCAGGAAGAACACCCGUGGCGAAGGCGGCUCUCUGGAACGCAACUGACGCUGAGACGCGAAAGCGUGGGGAGCAAACAGG